UACGUAGGGGGCUAGCGUUAUCCGGAAUUACUGGGCGUAAAGGGUGCGUAGGUGGUUUCUUAAGUCAGAGGUGAAAGGCUACGGCUCAACCGUAGUAAGCCUUUGAAACUGGGAAACUUGAGUGCAGGAGAGGAGAGUGGAAUUCCUAGUGUAGCGGUGAAAUGCGUAGAUAUUAGGAGGAACACCAGUUGCGAAGGCGGCUCUCUGGACUGUAACUGACACUGAGGCACGAAAGCGUGGGGAGCAAACAGGGUUAGAUACCCCUGUAGUCCCUGAGCGGG
rnacentral:rRNA from 1 species